rnacentral:ncRNA from 1 species
CUCAUCGAGAGGGACUGAGGGAACGGCCCGUCGAAGUCCCGGCAACCGCCACGAGCCUCCGCGCCGGCACCCGCUGGUCGUGCGUUCGUGGAAACGGUGCUAAUUCCGGCCCGGCGCGAGAGACGCGGUGGGGAAGAUGAGG